rnacentral:rRNA from 1 species
UACGUGGGGAGCAAGCGUUGUUCGGAUUUACUGGGCGUAAAGGGCGCGUAGGCGGCCACCGCAAGUCACUUGUGAAAUCUCCGGGCUUAACCCGGAAAGGUCAACUGAUACUGCGGGGCUAGAGUGCAGAAGGGGCAACUGGAAUUCUCGGUGUAGCGGUGAAAUGCGUAGAUAUCGAGAGGAACACCUGCGGCGAAGGCGGGUUGCUGGGCUGACACUGACGCUGAUGUGCGAAAGCUAGGGGAGCGAACGGG